GAUGAACGCUAGCGGCAGGCUUAAUACAUGCAAGUCGAGGGACAGCACAGGUAGCAAUACUGGGUGGUAACCGGCAAACGGGUGCGGAACACGUACACAACCUUCCUUUAAGUGGGGGAUAGCCCAGAGAAAUUUGGAUUAAUACCCCGUAAUAUAGUUGAAUGGCAUCAUUUGAUUAUUAUAGCUACGGCGCUUAAUGAUGGGUGUGCGGCUGAUUAGAUAGUUGGCGGGAUAACGGCCCACCAAGUCUACGAUCAGUAGCUGAUGUGAGAGCAUGAUCAGCCACACGGGCACUGAGACACGGGCCCGACUCCUACGGGAGGCAGCAGUAAGGAAUAUUGGUCAAUGGACGCAAGUCUGAACCAGCCAUGCCGCGUGAAGGAUUAAGGUCCUCUGGAUUGUAAACUUCUUUUAUUUGGGACGAAAAAGGGCCUUUCUAGGUCAACUGACGGUACCAGAUGAAUAAGCACCGGCUAACUCCGUGCCAGCAGCCGCCGUAAAAC
rnacentral:rRNA from 1 species